GAUGAACGCUGGCGGCGUGCCUAAAACAUGCAAGUCGUGCGGCAGCGGGCCUUCGGGUGCCGGCGAGCGGCGGACGGGUGAGUAACGCGUAGGAACGUACCCCAAAGUGAGGGAUAAGCUCCGGAAACGGAGUCUAAUACCGCAUAUGCUCUUAGGAGUAAAGGAGUAAUCCGCUUUGGGAGCGGCCUGCGUCCGAUUAGUUUGUUGGUGAGGUAAUGGCUUACCAAGACGAUGAUCGGUAGCUGGUUUGAGAGGAUGAUCAGCCACACUGGGACUGAGACACGGCCCAGACUCCUACGGGAGGCAGCAGUUAGGAAUUUUCCACAAUGGGGGCAACCCUGAUGGAGCAACGCCGCGUGCAGGAAGACGGCCUUCGGGUUGUAAACUGCUUUUAAAAGUGAAGAUUAUGACGGUAACUUUAGAAUAAGGAUCGGCUAACUCCGUGCCAGCCGCCGCCGUAA
rnacentral:rRNA from 1 species